rnacentral:rRNA from 1 species
CUAGCUACAGGCUUAACACAUGCAAGUCGAGGGGCAUCAGGAAGAAAGCUUGCUUUCUUUGCUGGCGACCGGCGCACGGGUGAGUAACACGUAUCCAACCUGCCCUUUACUCGGGGAUAGCCUUUCGAAAGAAAGAUUAAUACCCGAUGGCAUAAUGAUUCCGCAUGGUUUCAUUAUUAAAGGAUUCCGGUAAAGGAUGGGGAUGCGUUCCAUUAGGUUGUUGGUGAGGUAACGGCUCACCAAGCCUUCGAUGGAUAGGGGUUCUGAGAGGAAGGUCCCCCACAUUGGAACUGAGACACGGUCCAAACUCCUACGGGAGGCAGCAGUGAGGAAUAUUGGUCAAUGGGCGCUAGCCUGAACCAGCCAAGUAGCGUGAAGGAUGAAGGCUCUAUGGGUCGUAAACUUCUUUUAUAUAAGAAUAAAGUGCAGUAUGUAUACUGUUUUGUAUGUAUUAUAUGAAUAAGGAUCGGCUAACUCCGUGCCAGCAGCCGCGGUAAUACGGAGGAUCCGAGCGUUAUCCGGAUUUAUUGGGUUUAAAGGGAGCGUAGGUGGACUGGUAAGUCAGUUGUGAAAGUUUGCGGCUCAACCGUAAAAUUGCAGUUGAUACUGUCAGUCUUGAGUACAGUAGAGGUGGGCGGAAUUCGUGGUGUAGCGGUGAAAUGCUUAGAUAUCACGAAGAACUCCGAUUGCGAAGGCAGCUCACUGGACUGCAACUGACACUGAUGCUCGAAAGUGUGGGUAUCAAACAGGAUUAGAUACCCUGGUAGUCCACACAGUAAACGAUGAAUACUCGCUGUUUGCGAUAUACAGUAAGCGGCCAAGCGAAAGCAUUAAGUAUUCCACCUGGGGAGUACGCCGGCAACGGUGAAACUCAAAGGAAUUGACGGGGGCCCGCACAAGCGGAGGAACAUGUGGUUUAAUUCGAUGAUACGCGAGGAACCUUACCCGGGCUUAAAUUGCAGUGGAAUGAUGUGGAAACAUGUCAGUGAGCAAUCACCGCUGUGAAGGUGCUGCAUGGUUGUCGUCAGCUCGUGCCGUGAGGUGUCGGCUUAAGUGCCAUAACGAGCGCAACCCUUAUCUUUAGUUACUAACAGGUUAUGCUGAGGACUCUAGAGAGACUGCCGUCGUAAGAUGUGAGGAAGGUGGGGAUGACGUCAAAUCAGCACGGCCCUUACGUCCGGGGCUACACACGUGUUACAAUGGGGGGUACAGAAGGCAGCUAGCGGGUGACCGUAUGCUAAUCCCAAAAGCCUCUCUCAGUUCGGAUCGAAGUCUGCAACCCGACUUCGUGAAGCUGGAUUCGCUAGUAAUCGCGCAUCAGCCACGGCGCGGUGAAUACGUUCCCGGGCCUUGUACACACCGCCCGUCAAGCCAUGGGAGCCGGGGGUACCUGAAGUACGUAACCGCAAGGAUCGUCCUAGGGUAAAACUGG